AUGUGGAUGUACAAGGCAACAUGGAUGAAGUGGCGAACAAUGUUGUCCCACCAAGUCUGGCUCAUACUUCUGACUGCGAAGGCAGCUGGAGAUGUUCCAUCAUAUGAAAUGACUAAUGACGAGGUCACCAUUAGUAGGGAAGCACACAAAACUCCGAAGGUGUUGAAUGUGUUGACCAAGUUUAUGACCAUAGAUGAGCCGGUCGUGUCCGAGAAAGGGAAAACAAAACUUGAGCUGCCAAAUGUUGAUGACCUUAGUGCAACCGAGCUUCAUGAAAGUUACUUGACCCGGCUAUCCACAAGCCGGGAAAUGGAAGCAAGCAUGGUGAACAUGCUGAAAAGAAAAUAUGAGGAUAUUUUGAACCUUGCGGAAUCAAAGGCUACUGGCUUUCAAGAGCAGCUCAAAACUGAGAAAAGGUUGCCCGAGAAGGCCGAGUCAUCAGCUUCUUCAUUGCAAAAAUCAGUGCUUAUUUCUUAUGAAAACUUGAGCUGCUUGAAGACCUCUCAUGAGGAGGAAAAAGCAGCACUGUUGAAACACGCUGAGAAAGUAGAGGGCUAG
rnacentral:rRNA from 1 species